GACGAACGCUGGCGGCGUGCUUAACACAUGCAAGUCGAACGAAGAGCGAUGGAAGCUUGCUUCUAUCAAUCUUAGUGGCGAACGGGUGAGUAACGCGUAAUCAACCUGCCCUUCAGAGGGGGACAACAGUUGGAAACGACUGCUAAUACCGCAUACGAUCUAAUCUCGGCAUCGAGGAUAGAUGAAAGGUGGCCUCUACAUGUAAGCUAUCACUGAAGGAGGGGAUUGCGUCUGAUUAGCUAGUUGGAGGGGUAACGGCCCACCAAGGCGAUGAUCAGUAGCCGGUCUGGGAGGAUGAACGGCCACAUUGGGACUGAGACACGGCCCAGACUCCUACGGGAGGCAGCAGUGGGGAAUCUUCCGCAAUGGACGAAAGUCUGACGGAGCAACGCCGCGUGAGCGAUGACGGCCUUCGGGUUGUAAAGCUCUGUUAAUCGGGACGAAGGGCCUUCUUGCGAAUAGUGAGAAGGAUUGACGGUACCGGAAUAGAAAGCCACGGCUAACUACGUG
rnacentral:rRNA from 1 species